rnacentral:lncRNA from 1 species
CUGUCUGUGUCCCUCACUUUGGAGCCCUUUUGGAAGGCUCUUCAGGAGCCAGACUUUUCCUAGUAGUUUUCAGAACGGUCAUUCUGCUGAUGAUCAGCAGGAGUGAGUGGAACCGUGGCUCUUGCUGGCCUCCUCAAGUCCCACUGUGUGGACCCCAGGGACCUGGGGAGGGAGGUAACCAGGUGGAAUCAACUGUGGCCCCUCUGAGGUGCAGCUGUGGGAGCCCCUGCAGCUGAGGCAGGAGUGGGUGAGCCCCGUCGCCAAGACCGUGGCGUUGUGAGCAGCUCUGGCUCGGGGGCCGCUCCCCUGCUGGCUCUGAAAGCAGCACCCUGACCCUUCGGCGCCCUUGGCAGAAAGUGUUGGGCCGAGGGACUCAUGCCUUCCUCGGCAGGCCAUCUCCAUUUCCCAGCCUGAUUUGUGUGUGCUUGAGAAAAGGCCCCGUGGUCCCCAACACGGCUUGAUACUCUACUCCAGGUUUGGGUGACGACACAUGGCAGCCUGUUCUCCCCACAAACUGACCAGUGUCUGGGGCCGGGAGGGAUCUCAGGAAGUGAAGCCACGCCUGGUCAGGGACAGAGAGCUUGGACCUGGGGCGACUCUGGUCUGCUGUGCACCAGCUGAGCUCCCGGUGCCCGCAGAAGCUCUGUGGGCCUGGAGCUGCCUGCCGCCCCGGGUUUCUCCCAUCUGGGAGUUCACAGAGCGCUACCCAGCAGGGCCCGUCUCAGCAGCCAGCUCAGUGUACACCAAGGGCAGGGGCCUGAGGUGGGGCUGGUGAGCAGAGCAGCCACUCCCUGGUGCCAGGGCUGGAGGCUGGGCGCCUCGGGCCACACCCGCCUGUCCUUGUCCCCUUUCUGCUAUGCCCUGGGGAAGAGCGGUUAUGUAAUUGCCUUCGAGCUGUCAGGCCAGGCGGCCGAGGCUGCAGUGGAAACCAGAAGGUUGGAGAAUGCCAGCAGGAGGUGCCUGCCCUGCCUGUCCUGUCCAGCUGCUCCUCCCCUCGACCCAGGGGUGGGUGUUUCCCGGACGCCUGACUCCUGGCCUUUCUUCCUGGACUCGCAGGGCUUCUUACUGCAGUUUAAAGCUCUUCCCUGGCCUGCGUUACAGUGAACCAGUUUAGUUGAAGCAGAUGCUGGAUUCUCAGCGGUGGUGUAGAAAAUGCAGAGUCCCAGGGCCCGUCCCCCUCUGGUGCCACUGGCUGUGCACGUCUGUUGCUGUGGUACUGUUGUGACAGGUGCUAAGCCGACUGGAGCAGGUUGAGACACCUCUUGCUACGUAGUCCAGGCUGGCCUUGAACUCACCGGGGAGUGACCCUCCUGCCUCCACUUCCUGAGAGCUGGCAUCCAGAUGUGCGCCACCAUAUCCAGCUUGCUGGGUCACCAGACUAAUGGUCUGUGGCUCCUGCCAGGACUCUUCCUGUUAUCAUAAUCGCGUGGCUCUGACAGCUAUGUGUACGAUCUGUGUCGGUCUCCACACGAUCGGGGUCUGGCUGCCCGAGAAAUCCGCUUUCCCUCAGUGUGUUCCUUCCUGCCUUGCAAUCCCAUGCACCCAUUCUGACCUUGGAAACCGCUGCUUUGGGGAAGUGCCUCGCAGUGCUGAGUGGAAUCCUGACUGAUCGGAUUUUGCUAGACUGCUUCUGCAUCUUCCUGAGAGCCGGAUCAUUCCCAGUGAUGACACAGCUGACCCAGAGCAGGUGCAGCGGGUGUCAGGCUGGACUCAGAAACCCGGGCCUACCUGCCCUGGGGCCUAGGGAGGAGGGCAGGGGCCCCCUUCCACAUGCCGGUACCUCAGGGACUCCAAGGCCCCGAGCUGCCCUGCCAGGAAAAGGCUGGAUUCCCUCUCACUGAUCCCAUCCUGCUGCCUCCCUUUCCACCCUGCCAGGCUCCCCAACAUUAGCCACCGAGCCGUCCUGGGAGUUGGGUGAUUUUGCCUCAUCACUACCUUCCAGGCUGUGCAGCAGUUCUCUUCUUCGAGUACACGCAUGGUUUCCUGGUGUCCCGUUUCCAACAGUGCUCCGUCGUUUUGCACAGAAUUACUUUCCUUUCGAUUAUUUCCUGGGGCUCUCGUUCAAGAAGUGAAAUUAUUGGCUCUUCCUGGUAAACUUGGAUUUCACAGUGGAACUCUGACCCCUUUGAAGCCCCACGCUUUACUAGGAAAGUAUAAUAAGGGAGAGAAGCUUGAC